CCUACGGGAGGCAGCAGUGAGGAAUAUUGGUCAAUGGGCGUAAGCCUGAACCAGCCAAGUCGCGUGAGGGAAGAAUGCCCUAUGGGUUGUAAACCUCUUUUGUCAGGGAGCAAAGCCGGCUACGUGUAGCCGGACGGAGAGAACCUGAAGAAAAAGCAGCGGCCACCCCAGUGCCAGCAGCGGCGGGAAUAGGGAGGAUGCGAGAGUUAUCCGGAUUUAUUGGGUUGAAAGGGUGCGUAGGCGGAAUGCCAAGUCAGCGGUAAAAUCGCGGGGCUCAACCUCGCUCCGCCGUUGAAACUGGCGUUCUUGAGUGGGCGAGAAGUAUGCGGAAUGCGUGGUGUAGCGGUGAAAUGCAUAGAUAUCACGCAGAACUCCGAUUGCGAAGGCAGCAUACCGGCGCCCAACUGACGCUGACGCACGAACGCGUGGGUAUCGAACAGGAUUAGAUACCCUUGUAGUC
rnacentral:rRNA from 1 species